GGGGUCGUAGCUCAGUGGUAGAUCACUCGCUUUGCAUGUGUGAGGCACUGGGUUCGAAUCUCAGCACCACA
rnacentral:tRNA from 1 species